rnacentral:rRNA from 1 species
UAGACCGCCUGGGGAGUACGGCCGCAAGGUUAAAACUCAAAUGAAUUGACGGGGGCCCGCACAAGCGGUGGAGCAUGUGGUUUAAUUCGAUGCAACGCGAAGAACCUUACCUGGUCUUGACAUCCACAGAAGAAUCCAGAGAUGGAUUUGUGCCUUCGGGAACUGUGAGACAGGUGCUGCAUGGCUGUCGUCAGCUCGUGUUGUGAAAUGUUGGGUUAAAUCCCGCAACGAGCGCAACCCUUAUCCUUUGUUGCCAGCGGUUAGGCCGGGAACUCAAAGGAGACUGCCAGUGAUAAACUGGAGGAAGGUGGGGAUGACGUCAAGUCAUCAUGGCCCUUACGACCAGGGCUACACACGUGCUACAAUGGCGCAUACAAAGAGAAGCGACCUCGCGAGAGCAAGCGGACCUCAUAAAGUGCGUCGUAGUCCGGAUUGGAGUCUGCAACUCGACUCCAUGAAGUCGGAAUCGCUAGUAAUCGUGGAUCAGAAUGCCACGGUGAAUACGUUCCCGGGCCUUGUACACACCGCCCGUCACACCAUGGGAGUGGGUUGCAAAAGAAGUAGGUAGCUUAACCUUCGGGAGGGCGCUUACCACUUUGUGAUUCAUGACUGGGGUGAAGUCGUAACAAGGUAACCGUAGGGGAACCUGCGGUUGGAUCACCUCCUUACCUUAAAGAA